AGUGGGAUAGCUGGGUCAAAUGGUGGUUCCAUUCCCAGUUUUCUGAGGAACCUCCAUAUUUCUUUCCAUGGUGGCUGCACCACUUUGCAGACCCACCAGCAGU
rnacentral:pre_miRNA from 1 species